rnacentral:rRNA from 1 species
AGUGGCGCACGGGUGCGUAACGCGUAUGCAACCUACCCUAUACAGGGGGAUAGCCCGGAGAAAUCCGGAUUAAUACCCCGUAGUAUUAUUGUUCCGCAUGGGGCAAUAAUUAAAGCUGAGGCGGUAUAGGAUGGGCAUGCGUCCGAUUAGGUAGUUGGUAGGGUAACGGCCUACCAAGCCGACGAUCGGUAGGGGAACUGAGAGGUUGAUCCCCCACACUGGUACUGAGACACGGACCAGACUCCUACGGGAGGCAGCAGUGAGGAAUAUUGGGCAAUGGCCGAGAGGCUGACCCAGCCAUGCCGCGUGCAGGAAGAAGGCCCUAUGGGUUGUAAACUGCUUUUCUCAGGGAGUAACCCCAGGCUUGCGAGCCUGGCUGAAAGUACCUGAGGAAUAAGCAUCGGCUAACUCCGUGCCAGCAGCCGCGGUAAUACGGAGGAUGCGAGCGUUAUCCGGAUUUAUUGGGUUUAAAGGGUCCGUAGGCGGUUUGUUAAGUCAGGGGUGAAAUCCUUCAGCUCAACUGAAGAAUUGCCUUUGAUACUGGCAGGCUAGAGUGCGACAGAGGUGGAUGGAAUGUGUCAAGUAGCGGUGAAAUGCAUAGAUAUGACACAGAACACCGAUUGCGAAGGCAGUUCACUGGGUCGCAACUGACGCUGAUGGACGAAAGCGUGGGGAGCAAACAGGAUUAGAUACCCUGGUAGUCCACGCUGUAAACGAUGAUUACUCGCUGUUGGAUAC